rnacentral:rRNA from 1 species
AGAUUGAACGCUGGCGGCAUGCCUUACACAUGCAAGUCGAACGGUAGAGUAGCAAUACUCGAGAGUGGCGAACGGGUGAGUAAUAUAUCGGAACGUGCCCAGUCGUGGGGGAUAACGUAGAGAAAUUUACGCUAAUACCGCAUACGAUCUAAGGAUGAAAGCGGGGGAUUCGCAAGAACCUCGCGCGAUUGGAGCGGCUGAUAUCAGUAUUAGGUUGUCGGUGAGGUAAAAGCUCACCAAGCCGACGAUCUGUAGCUGGUUUGAGAGAACGACCAGCCACACUGGGACUGAGACACGGCCCAGACUCCUACGGGAGGCAGCAGU